rnacentral:rRNA from 1 species
GGUUAAGUGACUAAGCGUACACGGUGGAUGCCUUGGCAGUCAGAGGCGAUGAAAGACGUAGUAACUUGCGAUAAGCCCAGAUUAGGUAGUAACAACCAUUUGAGUCUGGGAUUUCUGAAUGGGGAAACCCACGUGCAUAAGCACGUAUCCUUACCUGAAUACAUAGGGUAAGGAGGCGAACCGGGGGAACUGAAACAUCUAAGUACCCCGAGGAAAAGAAAUCAACCGAGAUUCCGAAAGUAGCGGCGAGCGAAAUUGGACUAGCCCUUAAGCUUUACACGCGUUAGACGAACGGUCUGGAAAGUCCGACGAUACAGGGUGAUAGUCCCGUAGUUGACGACGUGUGUUCAGUGAAAUCGAGUAGGGCGGGACACGUGAUAUCCUGUCUGAAUAUGGGGGGACCAUCCUCCAAGGCUAAAUACUACUGACUGACCGAUAGUGAACCAGUACCGUGAGGGAAAGGCGAAAAGAACCCCUGUGAGGGGAGUGAAAUAGAACCUGAAACCGUGUACGUACAAGCAGUAGGAGCAGGCUUUGUCCUGUGACUGCGUACCUUUUGUAUAAUGGGUCAGCGACUUAUAUUCAGUGGCAAGGUUAACCAUCUAGGGGAGCCGUAGGGAAACCGAGUCUUAACUGGGCGUUCAGUCUCUGGAUAUAGACCCGAAACCAGGUGAUCUAGCCAUGGGCAGGUUGAAGGUUGAGUAACAUCAACUGGAGGACCGAACCGACUAAUGUUGAAAAAUUAGCGGAUGACUUGUGGCUAGGGGUGAAAGGCCAAUCAAACCUGGAGAUAGCUGGUUCUCCCCGAAAGCUAUUUAGGUAGCGCCUCGGACGAAUACUACUGGGGGUAGAGCACUGUUAAGGCUAGGGGGUCAUCCCGACUUACCAACCCUUUGCAAACUCCGAAUACCAGUAAGUACUAUCCGGGAGACACACGGCGGGUGCUAACGUCCGUCGUGGAGAGGGAAACAACCCAGACCGCCAGCUAAGGUCCCAAAUUACUACUAAGUGGGAAACGAUGUGGGAAGGCUCAGACAGCCAGGAUGUUGGCUUAGAAGCAGCCAUCAUUUAAAGAAAGCGUAAUAGCUCACUGGUCGAGUCGGCCUGCGCGGAAGAUGUAACGGGGCUAAGUAGUAAACCGAAGCUGCGGCAAUGUGCUUUUGCACAUUGGGUAGGGGAGCGUUCUGUAAGCGGUUGAAGGUGUGUGGUAACGCAUGCUGGACGUAUCAGAAGUGCGAAUGCUGACAUGAGUAACGAUAAAGGGGGUGAAAAACCUCCUCGCCGGAAGACCAAGGGUUCCUGUCCAACGUUAAUCGGGGCAGGGUAAGUCGACCCCUAAGGCGAGGCCGAAAGGCGUAGUCGAUGGGAAACGGGUUAAUAUUCCCGUACUUCUUACAAUUGCGAUGGGGGGACGGAGAAGGCUAGGUGGGCCUGGCGACGGUUGUCCAGGUUCAAGUGCGUAGGCUUAAGAGUUAGGUAAAUCCGGCUCUUUUUAAGGCUGAGACACGACGUCGAGCACCUACGGGUGUGAAGUCAUUGAUGCCAUGCUUCCAGGAAAAGCCUCUAAGCUUCAGAUUGUAAGGAAUCGUACCCCAAACCGACACAGGUGGUCGGGUAGAGAAUACCAAGGCGCUUGAGAGAACUCGGGUGAAGGAACUAGGCAAAAUGGUACCGUAACUUCGGGAGAAGGUACGCUCUUGAUGGUGAAGUCCCUUGCGGAUGGAGCUGACGAGAGUCGCAGAUACCAGGUGGCUGCAACUGUUUAUUAAAAACACAGCACUGUGCAAAAUCGUAAGAUGACGUAUACGGUGUGACGCCUGCCCGGUGCCGGAAGGUUAAUUGAUGGGGUUAGACUUCGGUCGAAGCUCUUGAUCGAAGCCCCGGUAAACGGCGGCCGUAACUAUAACGGUCCUAAGGUAGCGAAAUUCCUUGUCGGGUAAGUUCCGACCUGCACGAAUGGCGUAAUGAUGGCCACGCUGUCUCCACCCGAGACUCAGUGAAAUUGAAAUCGCUGUGAAGAUGCAGUGUACCCGCGGCUAGACGGAAAGACCCCGUGAACCUUUACUACAGCUUGGCACUGAACAUUGACCCUACAUGUGUAGGAUAGGUGGGAGGCUUUGAAGCACGUACGCCAGUAUGUGUGGAGCCGUCCUUGAAAUACCACCCUUGUAGUGUUGAUGUUCUAACGUUGACCCCUUAUCGGGGUUGCGGACAGUGCCUGGUGGGUAGUUUGACUGGGGCGGUCUCCUCCCAAAGAGUAACGGAGGAGCACGAAGGUGGGCUAAUCACGGUUGGACAUCGUGAGGUUAGUGCAAUGGCAUAAGCCCGCUUGACUGCGAGAAUGACAAUUCGAGCAGGUGCGAAAGCAGGUCAUAGUGAUCCGGUGGUUCUGAAUGGAAGGGCCAUCGCUCAACGGAUAAAAGGUACUCCGGGGAUAACAGGCUGAUACCGCCCAAGAGUUCAUAUCGACGGCGGUGUUUGGCACCUCGAUGUCGGCUCAUCACAUCCUGGGGCUGAAGUCGGUCCCAAGGGUAUGGCUGUUCGCCAUUUAAAGUGGUACGCGAGCUGGGUUUAGAACGUCGUGAGACAGUUCGGUCCCUAUCUGCCGUGGGCGUUGGAAGAUUGAAGGGGGCUGCUCCUAGUACGAGAGGACCGGAGUGGACGAACCUCUGGUGUUCGGGUUGUGUCGCCAGACGCAUUGCCCGGUAGCUAAGUUCGGAAUCGAUAACCGCUGAAAGCAUCUAAGCGGGAAGCGAGCCCUGAGAUGAGUCUUCCCUGAUACUUUAAGUAUCCUAAAGGGUUGUCGGAGACUACGACGUUGAUAGGUCAGGUGUGUAAGUGCUGUGAGG